GACGAACGCUGGCGGCGUGCUUAACACAUGCAAGUCGAACGAUGAAGUUCCUUCGGGAAUGGAUUAGUGGCGAACGGGCGAGGAACACGUGAGAAACCUGCCUUUCAUUUUGGGAUAACUCCGGGAAACCGGGGCUAAAACCGAAUACUCCGUCUCGGCGGCAUCGCUGAGCCGGGAAAAAAUUUUGAUGAAAGAUGGUCUCGCGGCCUAUCAGCUAGUUGGUGAGGUAAUGGCUCACCAAGGCAACGACGGGUAGCCGGCCUGAGAGGGCGACCGGCCACACUGGGACUGGGACACGGCCCAGACUCCUACGGGAGGCAGCAGUGGGGAAUAUUGGGCAAUGGGCGCAAGCCUGACCCAGCGACGCCGCGUGAGGGAUGAAGGCCUUCGGGUUGUAAACCUCUUUCAGUAGGGAAGAAGCGAAAGUGACGGUACCUAAAGAAGAAGCACCGGCUAACUAUGUGCCAGCCGCCGCGGUAA
rnacentral:rRNA from 1 species